GACGAACGCUGGCGGCGUGCCUAAUACAUGCAAGUAGGACGCAGUUGCGAACGGGAGAGUAACGCGUAGGUAACUACCUAUUAGAGGGGGAUAACUAUUGGAAACGAUAGCUAAUACCGCCUACUAGUAGAUUGACCUGCGUUGUAUUAGCUAGUAGGGCGGGUAAUGGCCUACCUAGGCAACGAUACAUAGCCGACUUGAGAGGGAGAUCGGCCACACGGGGACUGAGGAACGGCCCCGACUCCUACGGGAGGCAGGAGUAGGGAAUCUUCGGCAAGGGGGGGAACCCUGGCCGAGCAACGCCGCGUGAGUGAAGAAGGUUUUCGGAUCGUAAAGCUCUGUUGUUAAGGAAGCGGUACUUAACCAGAAAGGGACGGCUAACUACGUGCCAGCAGCCGCGGUAAUUC
rnacentral:rRNA from 1 species